rnacentral:sRNA from 1 species
UGGUAGAUGCACCCUGAUAACUCACUCCCUUGGCUAGUUAUAUACUUACCAAGGGAUUUUUGU